CAGAUCAGACAGGGUCUCUCCGUUGCCGUUUGUGGAAGGCCAGGCGACACGUCGCCACGCCCGUCUUGACAAAUACAGACAGGGCACGCACGCGCCGCCAUACCGACAGUUCCGUCUCAAACUCUCUACCUGCUCCGCUGCCCACACGGCACACGAGCUGUCAGCUAUAUACUCCAUCGCACGUCCAACCCCAGGGAAACACCCAUCCAAGAUACCGACGAGCAGGCCAGAGCGAAGGAAUGGACUCCAUGGCCAGCGACGACAGCAACCAAGGAGCAGCAGCCAAGCCGAAGCCGAAGCCACCACCGCUACCGCUGUCCGUGCGCCUCCAGCUGGCCGGGCUGACAGCGGCCAUCGACGCCGUGGAGCGCCGCGACGGGACGGUGAACCGCUGCCUGUACGGCGUGAUCGACCGGCUCCUGAGCGCGCGCGCCAGCCCGCGCCCGGACGCCUCCGGGGUGCGCUCCUACGACGUGACCAUGGACGCGUCCCGCGGCAUCUGGGCGCGCGUCUUCGCGCCGGCCGCGGCGGACCGCCCGCUCCCCGUGGUGGUGUACUUCCACGGCGGCGGCUUCGCGCUCUUCUCCCCGGCCAUCGGGCCCUUCAACGGCGUGUGCCGCCGCCUCUGCGCCGCGCUCGGCGCCGUCGUGGUGUCCGUCAACUACCGCCUGGCCCCGGAGCACCGCUGGCCCGCCGCCUACGACGACGGCGUCGACGCGCUGCGCUUCCUCGACGCCCGCGGCGGCGUCCCGGGCCUGGACGACGGCGUGCCCGUCGACCUCGGCACCUGCUUCCUGGCCGGGGAGAGCGCGGGCGGAAACAUCGUGCACCACGUCGCCAACCGCUGGGCGGCGGCGUGGCAGCCGUCCGCGCGGGCCCUCCGCGUCGCGGGCGUCUUCCCCGUGCAGCCCUACUUCGGCGGCGUGGAGCGCACGCCGUCGGAGCUGGAGCUAGAGGGCGUGGCGCCCGUGGUCAACCUCAGGCGCUCCGACUUCUCGUGGACCGCGUUCCUGCCCGACGGCGCCACCCGCGACCACCCGGCCGCGCACGUCACCGACGACAACGCCGACCUCGCCGACGACUUCCCGCCCGCCAUGGUCAUUAUCGGCGGCUUCGACCCGCUCAUGGACUGGCAGCGACGCUACGCCGACGUGCUGCGCCGGAAGGGGAAGGAGGUGCUGGUGGCCGAGUACCCAGGCAUGUUCCACGGCUUCUACGGCUUCCCGGAGCUCCCCGAGGCUACCAAGGUGCUGCAGGAUAUGAAGGCCUUCGUCGACAGCCACAUACCCACGCCCAAGCUCGCCGACGCGUGAUGCACGAACACCAUCCCAUUCCAUUCUAGUGUCAUGAGUCAUGACUGCUUGGUUCAUCUAUCUGCUGUCAAAAUAUAUACUUCCUAUAUAUUAAAGCAGGGCGCAAAGCUUCCAUCUGGUGCGCCCACGUCAUUUGUGUUUUCUCUUCCUUCAACGUCUUUGAUUCAAGCGUGUCUCCGUGGGAAGCUUCCGGACGAAGCUCACACCCUUUUCAGCUACUCGCUCGAAACCCAAGCGUCGCUGCAUGCUUCCCACCCCUCCUCGCCCAUGUAGAUAUACAUAGUGUAGCAAUAAACAAUAAAAAGUUUGUUUGGAAAAAAGAAAAUAAUAAAAAUAUAUUUUGUCGAG
rnacentral:misc_RNA from 1 species